ACAGGGUGACAGCCCCGUACACAAAAAUGCACAUGCUGUGAGCUCGAUGAGUAGGGCGGGACACGUGGUAUCCUGUCUGAAUAUGGGGGGACCAUCCUCCAAGGCUAAAUACUCCUGACUGACCGAUAGUGAACCAGUACCGUGAGGGAAAGGCGAAAAGAACCCCGGCGAGGGGAGUGAAAAAGAACCUGAAACCGUGUACGUACAAGCAGUGGGAGCACGCUUAGGCGUGUGACUGCGUACCUUUUGUAUAAUGGGUCAGCGACUUAUAUUCUGUAGCAAGGUUAACCGAAUAGGGGAGCCGAAGGGAAACCGAGUCUUAACUGGGCGUUAAGUUGCAGGGUAUAGACCCGAAACCCGGUGAUCUAGCCAUGGGCAGGUUGAAGGUUGGGUAACACUAACUGGAGGACCGAACCGACUAAUGUUGAAAAAUUAGCGGAUGACUUGUGGCUGGGGGUGAAAGGCCAAUCAAACCGGGAGAUAGCUGGUUCUCCCCGAAAGCUAUUUAGGUAGCGCCUCGUGAAUUCAUCUCCGGGGGUAGAGCACUGUUUCGGCAAGGGGGUCAUCCCGACUUACCAACCCGAUGCAAACUGCGAAUACCGGAGAAUGUUAUCACGGGAGACACACGGCGGGUGCUAACGUCCGUCGUGAAGAGGGAAACAACCCAGACCGCCAGCUAAGGUCCCAAAGUCAUGGUUAAGUGGGAAACGAUGUGGGAAGGCCCAGACAGCCAGGAUGUUGGCUUAGAAGCAGCCAUCAUUUAAAGAAAGCGUAAUAGCUCACUGGUCGAGUCGGCCUGCGCGGAAGAUGUAACGGGGCUAAACCAUGCACCGAAGCUGCGGCAGCGACGCUUAUGCGUUGUUGGGUAGGGGAGCGUUCUGUAAGCCUGUGAAGGUGUGCUGUGAGGCAUGCUGGAGGUAUCAGAAGUGCGAAUGCUGACAUAAGUAACGAUAAAGCGGGUGAAAAGCCCGCUCGCCGGAAGACCAAGGGUUCCUGUCCAACGUUAAUCGGGGCAGGGUGAGUCGACCCCUAAGGCGAGGCCGAAAGGCGUAGUCGAUGGGAAACAGGUUAAUAUUCCUGUACUUGGUGUUACUGCGAAGGGGGGACGGAGAAGGCUAUGUUGGCCGGGCGACGGUUGUCCCGGUUUAAGCGUGUAGGCUGGUUUUCCAGGCAAAUCCGGAAAAUCAAGGCUGAGGCGUGAUGACGAGGCACUACGGUGCUGAAGCAACAAAUGCCCUGCUUCCAGGAAAAGCCUCUAAGCAUCAGGUAACAUCAAAUCGUACCCCAAACCGACACAGGUGGUCAGGUAGAGAAUACCAAGGCGCUUGAGAGAACUCGGGUGAAGGAACUAGGCAAAAUGGUGCCGUAACUUCGGGAGAAGGCACGCUGAUAUGUAGGUGAAGCGACUUGCUCGUGGAGCUGAAAUCAGUCGAAGAUACCAGCUGGCUGCAACUGUUUAUUAAAAACACAGCACUGUGCAAACACGAAAGUGGACGUAUACGGUGUGACGCCUGCCCGGUGCCGGAAGGUUAAUUGAUGGGGUCAGCGCAAGCGAAGCUCUUGAUCGAAGCCCCGGUAAACGGCGGCCGUAACUAUAACGGUCCUAAGGUAGCGAAAUUCCUUGUCGGGUAAGUUCCGACCUGCACGAAUGGCGUAAUGAUGGCCAGGCUGUCUCCACCCGAGACUCAGUGAAAUUGAACUCGCUGUGAAGAUGCAGUGUACCCGCGGCAAGACGGAAAGACCCCGUGAACCUUUACUAUAGCUUGACACUGAACAUUGAGCCUUGAUGUGUAGGAUAGGUGGGAGGCUUUGAAGUGUGGACGCCAGUCUGCAUGGAGCCGACCUUGAAAUACCACCCUUUAAUGUUUGAUGUUCUAACGUUGACCCGUAAUCCGGGUUGCGGACAGUGUCUGGUGGGUAGUUUGACUGGGGCGGUCUCCUCCUAAAGAGUAACGGAGGAGCACGAAGGUUGGCUAAUCCUGGUCGGACAUCAGGAGGUUAGUGCAAUGGCAUAAGCCAGCUUGACUGCGAGCGUGACGGCGCGAGCAGGUGCGAAAGCAGGUCAUAGUGAUCCGGUGGUUCUGAAUGGAAGGGCCAUCGCUCAACGGAUAAAAGGUACUCCGGGGAUAACAGGCUGAUACCGCCCAAGAGUUCAUAUCGACGGCGGUGUUUGGCACCUCGAUGUCGGCUCAUCACAUCCUGGGGCUGAAGUAGGUCCCAAGGGUAUGGCUGUUCGCCAUUUAAAGUGGUACGCGAGCUGGGUUUAGAACGUCGUGAGACAGUUCGGUCCCUAUCUGCCGUGGGCGCUGGAGAACUGAGGGGGGCUGCUCCUAGUACGAGAGGACCGGAGUGGACGCAUCACUGGUGUUCGGGUUGUCAUGCCAAUGGCACUGCCCGGUAGCUAAAUGCGGAAGAGAUAAGUGCUGAAAGCAUCUAAGCACGAAACUUGCCCCGAGAUGAGUUCUCCCUGACCCUUUAAGGGUCCUGAAGGAACGUUGAAGACGACGACGUUGAUAGGCCGGGUGUGUAAGCGCAGCGAUGCGUUGAGCUAACCGGUACUAAUGAACCGUGAGGCUUAACCUUACAACGCCGAAGCUGUU
rnacentral:rRNA from 1 species